UUUUGUUAGGUGACUUGGUUGGUUGAAAAUCGUUAAGUUUAGGGACUUCAGAAGGGAUUUUUAUUUUGGAAUGUGGUUUUGUUUUGACACUUGGAUAAAAUGUGUUAGGCUUAGGGAUUUUAAAAGAGAUUUUUAUUUUGGAAUGUGGUUUUGUUUUGAUACUUAGAUGCUCGAAAAUGGUUACGUUUACGGACUUUAGAAGGGAUUUUUUUUUGGAAUGUGGUUUUGUUUUGAAACUUAGAUGCUCGAAAAUGGUUAAGUUUACGGACUUUAGAAGGGAUUUUUUUAUUUAGAAUGUUGUUUUGUUUUGACACUUAGAUGCUUGAAAAUGGUUAAGUUUACGGACUUUAGAAGGGAUUUUUUAUUUGGAAUGUGGUUUUGUUUUGAUACUUAGAUGCUCGAAAAUGUUUAAGUUAAGGGACUUCAAAAUGAUUUUUUUAUUUGAAAUGUGUUUUUGUUUUGACACUUAGAUGCUCGAAAAUGGUUAAGUUUAUGGACUUUAGAAGGGUUUUGUUAUUUGGAAUGUCGUUUUGUUUUGACACUUAGAUGCUCGAAAAUGGUUAAGUUUACGGACUUUAAAAGGGAUUUUUUUUUUGGAAUGUGGUUUUAUUUUGAGACUUAGAUGCUUGAAAAUGAUUAAGUUUACGGACUUUAGAAGGGAUUUUUUAUUUGGAAUGUGGUUUUGUUUUGACACUUAGAUGCUCGAAAAUGGUUAAGUUUACGGACUUUAAAAGGGAUUUUUUUUUUGGAAUGUGGUUUUAUUUUGAGACUUAGAUGCUUGAAAAUGAUUAAGUUUACGGACUUUAGAAGGGAUUUUUUAUUUGGAAUGUGGUUUUGUUUUGACACUUAGAUGCUCGAAAAUGGUUAAGUUUACGAACUUUAGAAGGGAUUUUUUAUUUGGAAUGUGGUUUUGUUUUGAUACUUAGAUGCUCGAAAAUGGUUAAGUUUAGGGACUUCAAAAUGAAUUUUUUGUUUGGAAUGUGGUUUUCUUUUGACACUUAGAUGCUCGAAAAUGGUUAAGUUUACGGACUUUAGAAGAGAUUUUUUAUUUGGAAUGUCGUUUUGUUUUGACACUUAGAUGCUCGAAAAUGGUUAAGUUUAGGGACUUCAGAAGGGGAUUUUGUUUUGGAAUGUGGUUUUGUUAGGUGACUUGGUUCGUUGAAAAUCGUUAAGUUUAGAGACUUUAAAAUGGAUUUUUGUUUUAGAAUGUGGUUUGUUUGGUGACUUUGUCAUUUGAACAUGGUUUAAUCUAGGCACUUUAUAGGUGAUUUUUUUUGUUUGGAAUGUGACUUGUUUGGCGGAUUAGUUACUUGUAAAUGGUUAAGUCUAGUGACUUAACCGGUGAUUUACUUGCAUACAGUGUGACUUUAGAAGGGGAUUUUGUUUUGGAAUGUGG
rnacentral:lncRNA from 1 species